UACGUAGGGUGCAAGCGUUGUCCGGAAUUAUUGGGCGUAAAGAGCUCGUAGGCGGUCUGUCGCGUCUGCUGUGAAAACUCAGGGCUUAACCCCUGAGCUUGCAGUGGGUACGGGCAGACUAGAGUGCGGUAGGGGAGACUGGAAUUCCUGGUGUAGCGGUGAAAUGCGCAGAUAUCAGGAGGAACACCGGUGGCGAAGGCGGGUCUCUGGGCCGAUACUGACGCUGGAGGAGCGAAAGCGUGGGGAGCGAACAGG
rnacentral:rRNA from 1 species